CCUAGCCCUAAAAGUAUUGUGGUUGUGACUUCUGUGCACUUGUGCAUCAGUAGGUGGCAGAAAGGAUCGAGGCUAUGUCUACACUGAGUGUUUUAAUGAACAACUGAAAGGUUAGUAGCCUAACAUU